CAAACGCAGUGAACUUUGGGAUAGCGGUCCAAGCUGAUUGGGAAAACAGCGAGUUCAUCUCCCAUAUUUCUCCCAAUGUUCGCCGCCUCUUCGAUUUCCUGGUCCAAUUCUAGGCUACAACGAAGAGCAAAUUGGCAUCACUGAAUGAGAAGCUUGACGUAUUGGAACGAAAGCUAGAACUUCUUGAAGUUCAAGUGGUGACUGCAUCAGCCAACCCUUCUCUUUUUGCACGUGAUGCUUAGCAGAUCAUGCCAUUCUUAUUAGAUUAUAAUAUACCGCUUUACUGUAAACAUCCUCUUGUCUAUAGUGUGGACGUGAACAUAUUUCUUGGUCUUGUAGCCCAGUUCAAAAGUAAUCUAUCCAUUAUUCUGCUUUAUGUUGA